CACGUAGGCGGCCUGGUAAGUCAGAUGUGAAAGCCCGGGGCUUAACCCCGGAAGUGCAUUUGGUACUGUCAGGCUUGAGUAUGGGAGAGGGAAGUGGAAUUCCUGGUGUAGAGGUGAAAUUCGUAGAUAUCAGGAGGAACACCGGUGGCGAAGGCGACUUCCUGGACCAAUACUGACGCUGAGGUGCGAAGGCGUGGGUAGCAAACA
rnacentral:rRNA from 1 species